rnacentral:rRNA from 1 species
UAAUUUGAGAGUUUGAUCCUGGCUCAGGAUGAACGCUGGCGGCGUGCUUAACACAUGCAAGUCGAGCGAAGCGCUUAUGAUUGACUUUUCGGAGGAUUUCAUUAGUGACUGAGCGGCGGACGGGUGAGUAACGCGUGGGUAACCUGCCUC